rnacentral:rRNA from 1 species
UAAUACGUAUGGUGCGAACGUUAUUCGGAAUUACUGGGCAUAAAGGGCGCGUAGGCGGUUUGGUAAGCCUGUAUGUGAAAUCCCUCGGCUUAACCGAGGAACUGCAUCGGAUACUGCCAGACUAGAGUGCAGGAGGGGAGAGCGGAAUUCCUGGUGGAGCGGUGAAAUGCGUAGAUAUCAGGAGGAACGCCAGUGGCGAAAGCGGCUCUCUGGCCUGCAACUGACGCUGAGGCGCGAAAGCUAGGGGAGCAAACGGGAUUAGAUACCCCGGUAGUCCUAGCUGUAAACGAUGGGUACUAGGUAGAGGAAGUUCUAUAGCUUUCUCUGCUGUAGCUAAUGUAUUAAGUACCCCGCCUGGGGAGUAUGGUCGCAAGGCUA